rnacentral:rRNA from 1 species
UCCUGGCUCAGGAUGAACGCUGGCGGUGUGCUUAACACAUGCAAGUCGAGCGAACCUUCGGGUUAGUGGCGGACGGGUGAGUAACGCGUGGGAAUCUGCCCUCAGGAGGGGGAUAACGGUUGGAAACGACCGCUAAUACCCCAUAUGCCGAGAGGUGAAACGAAAUUCGCCUGAGGAUGAGCCCGCGUCUGAUUAGCUAGUUGGUGGGGUAAAGGCCUACCAAGGCAUCGAUCAGUAGCUGGUCUGAGAGGAUGAUCAGCCACACUGGGACUGAGACACGGCCCAGACUCCUACGGGAGGCAGCAGUGGGGAAUUUUCCGCAAUGGGCGCAAGCCUGACGGAGCAACGCCGCGUGAGGGAUGAAGGCCUCUGGGCUGUAAACCUCUUUUCUCAAGGAAGAAGAACUGACGGUACUUGAGGAAUAAGCCACGGCUAAUUCCGUGCCAGCAGCCGCGGUAAUACGGGAGUGGCAAGCGUUAUCCGGAAUUAUUGGGCGUAAAGCGUCCGCAGGCGGCCUUGAAAGUCUGUCGUUAAAGCGUGGAGCUUAACUCCAUUUCGGCGGUGGAAACUACAAGGCUUGAGUGUGGUAGGGGCAGAGGGAAUUCCCGGUGUAGCGGUGAAGUGCGUAGAUAUCGGGAAGAACACCAGUGGCGAAGGCGCUCUGCUGGGCCAUAACUGACGCUCAUGGACGAAAGCCAGGGGAGCGAAAGAAAUUACGAUACCCCUGUAGUCCUGGCCGUAAACGAUGAACACUAGGUGUCGGGGGAAUCGACCCCCUCGGUGUCGUAGCCAACGUGUUAAGUGUUCCGCCUGGGGAGUACGCACGCAAGUGUGAAACUCAAAGGAAUUGACGGGGGCCCGCACAAGCGGUGGAGUAUGUGGUUUAAUUCGAUGCAACGCGAAGAACCUUACCAGGGUUUGACAUCCUGCGAAUUCCUUGGAAACUUGGAAGUGCCUUCGGGAGCGCAGUGACAGGUGGUGCAUGGCUGUCGUCGGCUCGUGUCGUGAGAUGUUGGGUUAAGUCCCGCAACGAGCGCAACCCACGUCUUUAGUUGCCAGCAUUAAGUUGGGCACUCUAGAGAGACCGCCGGUGAUAAACCGGAGGAAGGUGUGGAUGACGUCAAGUCAUCAUGCCCCUUACAUCCUGGGCUACACACGUACUACAAUGCUACGGACAAAGGGCAGCAAACUCGCGAGAGCUAGCAAAUCCCAUAAACCGUGGCUCAGUUCAGAUAAUAGGCUGCAACUCGCCUACGUGAAGGAGGAAUCGCUAGUAAUCGCAGGUCAGCAUACUGCGGUGAAUACAAAGGCGCCCCUUGCACACACCGCCCGUCA